UACGUAGGGGGCUAGCGUUGUCCGGAUUUACUGGGCGUAAAGGGCGCGUAGGCGGCGUGACAAGUCACUUGUGAAAUCUCCGGGCUUAACUCGGAACGGUCAAGUGAUACUGUCGUGCUAGAGUACAGAAGGGGCAACUGGAAUUCUCGGUGUAGCGGUGAAAUGCGUAGAUAUCAGGAGGAACACCGGUGGUGUAGACGGCUUUCUGGACCGUAACUGACGCUGAAACACGAAAGCGUGGGUAGCAAACAGG
rnacentral:rRNA from 1 species